UACAGGAGGGGGCGAGCGUUGUUCGGAAUUACUGGGCGUAAAGAGCUCGUAGGCGGUGUGUCGCGUCGGCCGUGAAAACCUGCAGCUUAACUGGUGGGCUUGCGGUCGAUACGGGCAUCACUGGAGUUCGGGCAGGGGAGACUGGAAUUCCUGGUGUAGCGGUGAAAUGCGCAGAUAUCAGGGAGGGAACACCGGUGGGCGAAG
rnacentral:rRNA from 1 species